UGUAGGGAGGUAAUUGGUGGGGGUGUAUUCCUGGUAUGAUUCCGUAUUCAAUGUUCUGUUCCGUGUUCCGUGUUCUAUGUUUGUUACGAAUCUGUGUGCUUUCCUCUGCUUUAUAUUCCUGCAUUACUGCUUUACUCUGUUUUAUAUUCCUUAUGGCUGCAGUAUUGAUUUUUUGUCAUCUGCUUCUGUGCUGUACUAUGUGUUUGUUUGAUAUCUCGUAACUUGAGCCGGGGGUCUUUCGGAAACAGCCUUUCUACUUCAUCAGAGGUAGAGGUAUGGACUGCGUGUGCUGUACUAUGUGUUUGUUUGAUAUCUCGUAACUUGAGCCGGGGGUCUUUCGGAAACAGCCUUUCUACUUCAUCAGAGGUAGAGGUAUGGACUGCGUACAUCUUACCCCCCCC
rnacentral:lncRNA from 1 species